CCUACGGGAGGCAGCAGUGAGGAAUAUUGGUCAAUGGGCGCGAGCCUGACCCAGCCAAGUCGCGUGAGGGAAGACGGUCCUAUGGAUUGUAACCCUCUUUUGUCGGGGAGCAAAAGACGCCACGCGUCGCGUUCCGAGCUUACCCGAAGAAAAAGCAUCGGCUCACUCCGUGCCAUCAGCCGCGGUAAUACGGGGGAUGCGAGCGUUAUCCGGAUUUCUUGGGUUUGAAGGGUGCGCAGGCGGAAGAUCAAGUCAGCGGUAAAAGUGAGAGGCUCAACCUCGUCGAGCCGUUGAAACCGGUUGUCUUGAGUGAGUGAGAAGUAUGCGGAAUGCGUGGUGUAGCGGUGAAAUGCAUAGAUAUCACGCAGAACUCCGAUUGCGAAGGCAGCAUACCGGCGCGCAACUGACGCUCAUGCACGAAAGUGUGGGUAUCGAACAGGAUUAGAUACCCGAGUAGUC
rnacentral:rRNA from 1 species